rnacentral:RNase_MRP_RNA from 1 species
CCCUCGCCCGACAAAUCGCCAUCGAAGCUUCACACGGAGAUAUCUCUUACGAGUCAUCUCACAAAACAUGCUUCGGGAGAAAGUCCCCGGACAAUCUUCUUCCCCAAGAAGAAGAACGCCGAAAGGCGCCGCCAUAGAAGCACCACGCGGCUGAUCUCUGCCCUCCUCCGUCCUCUUGUCUGACUUUGCCAGCCCCGCCCCGUCGCUACAUCUUUCGGUUCAUAUCUGGGGGUCUGACACCGGUGGUUCUGCCUGAUCGCGCUCUACGGACGAAGAUAUGAGUCCUGCGCACAGGGCGGGAUCUCGGUUGCUUAGGCUUCUGGAGUGUGGCCGUUCGAUGGCGGGGUGGACGUUAUGUGCGGUCUAGUGCUGGGGGCGCUUUGUGGGGAGGGUUUGAGAGGUGUUUUCGUCGAGAUUUGAUAGGUAUGCGAUUGCCUUUGGUCAAGUUCACGCUUGACUGGGUUACUCGAUGGGGCUCAUUCUUGGUGCGAGG